AUGAGGGCAGGAAAAUCCAGUGACUGCACACAGUGUCCUCCUUUGGGGAGCGUUCCUGAGUACUUGGCAAACAGAAGCAGUGGCAGCCUCAGCCUCGGAGGCAUCCCGUACGUCCUGGCCAGCCCAGUUUACGCCAUGGAACAGAGGGAAAAUCCACCGAGGUUGCGAUCCAAAAGGUUGCUUUCUAGAAGGCAUCAAAAGACCAGCAAGGGUACAAAAAUCAGCGCAGAAGGGAAAUGCUCAGAUUAUGGUUUGGAAUACCUGAUAGUUUCACAUGCGAACAAGAGGAUCUCCAGCUAACCGGAAAAUAGUAGAAAGCAGCUUUGGGG
rnacentral:lncRNA from 1 species